rnacentral:rRNA from 1 species
UUAAGCGACUAAGCGUACACGGUGGAUGCCCUGGCAGUCAGAGGCGAUGAAGGACGUGCUAAUCUGCGAUAAGCGUCGGUAAGGUGAUAUGAACCGUUAUAACCGGCGAUUUCCGAAUGGGGAAACCCAGUGUGUUUCGACACACUAUCAUUAACUGAAUCCAUAGGUUAAUGAGGCGAACCGGGGGAACUGAAACAUCUAAGUACCCCGAGGAAAAGAAAUCAACCGAGAUUCCCCCAGUAGCGGCGAGCGAACGGGGAGCAGCCCAGAGCCUGAAUCAGUGUGUGUGUUAGUGGAAGCGUCUGGAAAGGCGCGCGAUACAGGGUGACAGCCCCGUACACAAAAAUGCACAUACUGUGAGCUCGAUGAGUAGGGCGGGACACGUGGUAUCCUGUCUGAAUAUGGGGGGACCAUCCUCCAAGGCUAAAUACUCCUGACUGACCGAUAGUGAACCAGUACCGUGAGGGAAAGGCGAAAAGAACCCCGGCGAGGGGAGUGAAAAAGAACCUGAAACCGUGUACGUACAAGCAGUGGGAGCCUCUUAAUGGGGUGACUGCGUACCUUUUGUAUAAUGGGUCAGCGACUUAUAUUCUGUAGCAAGGUUAACCGAAUAGGGGAGCCGAAGGGAAACCGAGUCUUAACUGGGCGUUAAGUUGCAGGGUAUAGACCCGAAACCCGGUGAUCUAGCCAUGGGCAGGUUGAAGGUUGGGUAACACUAACUGGAGGACCGAACCGACUAAUGUUGAAAAAUUAGCGGAUGACUUGUGGCUGGGGGUGAAAGGCCAAUCAAACCGGGAGAUAGCUGGUUCUCCCCGAAAGCUAUUUAGGUAGCGCCUCGUGAAUUCAUCUCCGGGGGUAGAGCACUGUUUCGGCAAGGGGGUCAUCCCGACUUACCAACCCGAUGCAAACUGCGAAUACCGGAGAAUGUUAUCACGGGAGACACACGGCGGGUGCUAACGUCCGUCGUGAAGAGGGAAACAAGGGAAACAACCCAGACCGCCAGCUAAGGUCCCAAAGUCAUGGUUAAGUGGGAAACGAUGUGGGAAGGCCCAGACAGCCAGGAUGUUGGCUUAGAAGCAGCCAUCAUUUAAAGAAAGCGUAAUAGCUCACUGGUCGAGUCGGCCUGCGCGGAAGAUGUAACGGGGCUAAACCAUGCACCGAAGCUGCGGCAGCGACACUAUGUGUUGUUGGGUAGGGGAGCGUUCUGUAAGCCUGCGAAGGUGUACUGUGAGGUAUGCUGGAGGUAUCAGAAGUGCGAAUGCUGACAUAAGUAACGAUAAAGCGGGUGAAAAGCCCGCUCGCCGGAAGACCAAGGGUUCCUGUCCAACGUUAAUCGGGGCAGGGUGAGUCGACCCCUAAGGCGAGGCCGAAAGGCGUAGUCGAUGGGAAACAGGUUAAUAUUCCUGUACUUGGUGUUACUGCGAAGGGGGGACGGAGAAGGCUAUGUUGGCCGGGCGACGGUUGUCCCGGUUUAAGCGUGUAGGCUGGUUUUCCAGGCAAAUCCGGAAAAUCAAGGCUGAGGCGUGAUGACGAGGCACUACGGUGCUGAAGCAACAAAUGCCCUGCUUCCAGGAAAAGCCUCUAAGCAUCAGGUAACAUCAAAUCGUACCCCAAACCGACACAGGUGGUCAGGUAGAGAAUACCAAGGCGCUUGAGAGAACUCGGGUGAAGGAACUAGGCAAAAUGGUGCCGUAACUUCGGGAGAAGGCACGCUGAUAUGUAGGUGAAGUCCCUCGCGGAUGGAGCUGAAAUCAGUCGAAGAUACCAGCUGGCUGCAACUGUUUAUUAAAAACACAGCACUGUGCAAACACGAAAGUGGACGUAUACGGUGUGACGCCUGCCCGGUGCCGGAAGGUUAAUUGAUGGGGUUAGCGGUAACGCGAAGCUCUUGAUCGAAGCCCCGGUAAACGGCGGCCGUAACUAUAACGGUCCUAAGGUAGCGAAAUUCCUUGUCGGGUAAGUUCCGACCUGCACGAAUGGCGUAAUGAUGGCCAGGCUGUCUCCACCCGAGACUCAGUGAAAUUGAACUCGCUGUGAAGAUGCAGUGUACCCGCGGCAAGACGGAAAGACCCCGUGAACCUUUACUAUAGCUUGACACUGAACAUUGAGCCUUGAUGUGUAGGAUAGGUGGGAGGCUUUGAAGUGUGGACGCCAGUCUGCAUGGAGCCGGCCUUGAAAUACCACCCUUUAAUGUUUGAUGUUCUAACGUUGGCCCCUUACCGGGGUUGCGGACAGUGUCUGGUGGGUAGUUUGACUGGGGCGGUCUCCUCCUAAAGAGUAACGGAGGAGCACGAAGGUUGGCUAAUCCUGGUCGGACAUCAGGAGGUUAGUGCAAUGGCAUAAGCCAGCUUGACUGCGAGCGUGACGGCGCGAGCAGGUGCGAAAGCAGGUCAUAGUGAUCCGGUGGUUCUGAAUGGAAGGGCCAUCGCUCAACGGAUAAAAGGUACUCCGGGGAUAACAGGCUGAUACCGCCCAAGAGUUCAUAUCGACGGCGGUGUUUGGCACCUCGAUGUCGGCUCAUCACAUCCUGGGGCUGAAGUAGGUCCCAAGGGUAUGGCUGUUCGCCAUUUAAAGUGGUACGCGAGCUGGGUUUAGAACGUCGUGAGACAGUUCGGUCCCUAUCUGCCGUGGGCGCUGGAGAACUGAGGGGGGCUGCUCCUAGUACGAGAGGACCGGAGUGGACGCAUCACUGGUGUUCGGGUUGUCAUGCCAAUGGCACUGCCCGGUAGCUAAAUGCGGAAGAGAUAAGUGCUGAAAGCAUCUAAGCACGAAACUUGCCCCGAGAUGAGUUCUCCCUGACUCCUUGAGAGUCCUGAAGGAACGUUGAAGACGACGACGUUGAUAGGCCGGGUGUGUAAGCGCAGCGAUGCGUUGAGCUAACCGGUACUAAUGAACCGUGAGGCUUAACCU